GAGCGGGGAGCAAGGCCUGCGGGGAGGCGCAGGAUGGACGCGUUGGCUGUCAUGAUGUAGGACCUCCUGACCUAGAACCAUGCCCGGCGCAGGGAGAACAACGAGCUUACGGACCGGGUGCGGGGGCUGCUGUGCGAGAAAGCCUACCUGCUGGCCCGGGAGCGUUCGCCGGCCCACCUGGUGGCUUUCCCUGGACGUUUAACGGCGACUCCGCCCGGCCUCCCGACUUUUUGAUGCAGGCGUUCUCUUACAUGACUUUCUUCGAGGCUAGAUUCUCGAAAGACAUCCUGAAGGUGGCUUUCUUAAUUAGCUGCCUCACCGGCUGGCGGAGCAGUUCGUAGUCGCCUACAUCGAGAGGGAGAGCCCCGUCCUGGCUCAGUACUGGGGCUUCGUGGACGCGCUGUAGCGGGUCUUCGCCGUCGUGGGUAGGAAACAGUCGGGCCGGAUCCCCGGUGUCUGGGGAGCGGCUGCCGGCCGGGCCCGCGCGAGCCGCUUCACUCCUACAAGCCCGGCUCACUAGUUCCAAGCUGCUGGACUUUGACCCUCGCUGGGAAGCUUGAUCGCCGCCUGUUCUCGCCAAUCUCUAUGCCUUUGCACUGCCCAGCAACCCGGUCACUGCCCAGGACCUGUUAAAAGUUGAAUGGACCUCCCAGAAUCACGCCGCUGCCACCGCCGUUUCUAGAGACGGCUUUUGGCCACCUUUGAGAAUCAGGGUCAAACUUGGAAGGGCCUGCAUUUGUCACACUUCCUCGGACACUAAUUUGGAUAGUUCAGGCCCAGAGACGGCUUCCCGGGUUAGUGUGCCUGACAACACUGAAGAAAAAUUGUGACAUUUUCCUUCCCCAGAAUUACUUCGUUUUAUACAUUUCACUUCUCUUCUGAAAUCACAGCAAUGCCAGUUUGCGCCUUUUGGUCUGAGGAACGCAGGCCCUGGCCACUACCAGGAAAAAAUCCUUUGCACAUGGCCUGCUAUCAACAAUCCUCUACAAUGAUUCUCAGCAUCACCUAGGGAGCUUAUGUAAAAUCUCAAAUUCCUGGGCCCUAUCCCCAGAGUUUCUUAUCAAGUAAGUCUGCAUUGGGAUCUGAGGAUUUGCAUCUCUAACAAAAAUUCCUAGGCGAUGCUCACACUGUUGGUGUAAGGUUUCCUUGAUGGAGAACUAUCAAAGCAGUCAAAGCUAUCAAAAUAAAAAAGAAUUCUGAUUGGGUGCAGUGGCUCACACCUGUCAUUCCAGCACUUUGAGAGGCCAAGGUGGGCAGAUCACAUGAGGCCAGGAGUUCAAGACCAGCCUGGCCAACAUGGCAGAAACCCCAUCUCUACUAAAAAUACCAAAAUUAGCCGGGCAUGGUGGAACACACCUGCAAUCCCAGCUACUCGGGAGGCUGAGGCAAGAGAAUCGCUUGAACCUGGGAGGCAGAAGUUGCAGUGAAACAAGUUGGUGCCAAUGCAUUCCAGCCUGGA
rnacentral:lncRNA from 10 species